GUCUUAGUAGUUUAUAUAAAACCUUGGUCUUGUAAAUCAAAAAUAAAAAAUUAUUUUCUAAGACU
rnacentral:tRNA from 1 species